AUGCAAGUCGAACGGCAGCACAGGAGAGCUUGCUCUCUGGGUGGCGAGUGGCGGACGGGUGAGGAAUACAUCGGAAUCUACUCUGUCGUGGGGGAUAACGUAGGGAAACUUACGCUAAUACCGCAUACGACCUACGGGUGAAAGCAGGGGACCUUCGGGCCUUGCGCGAUUGAAUGAGCCGAUGUCGGAUUAGCUAGUUGGCGGGGUAAAGGCCCACCAAGGCGACGAUCCGUAGCUGGUCUGAGAGGAUGAUCAGCCACACUGGAACUGAGACACGGUCCAGACUCCUACGGGAGGCAGCAGUGGGGAAUAUUGGACAAUGGGCGCAAGCCUGAUCCAGCCAUACCGCGUGGGUGAAGAAGGCCUUCGGGUUGUAAAGCCCUUUUGUUGGGAAAGAAAUCCAGCUGGCUAAUACCCGGUUGGGAUGACGGUACCCAAAGAAUAAGCACCGGCUAACUUCGUGCCAGCAGCCGCGGUAAUACGAAGGGUGCAAGCGUUACUCGGAAUUACUGGGCGUAAAGCGUGCGUAGGUGGUCGUUUAAGUCCGUUGUGAAAGCCCUGGGCUCAACCUGGGAACUGCAGUGGAUACUGGGCGACUAGAAUGUGGUAGAGGGUAGCGGAAUUCCUGGUGUAGCAGUGAAAUGCGUAGAGAUCAGGAGGAACAUCCAUGGCGAAGGCAGCUACCUGGACCAACAUUGACACUGAGGCACGAAAGCGUGGGGGAGCAAACAGGAUUAGAUACCCUGGUAG
rnacentral:rRNA from 1 species